CCGGUAGCUCAGCUGGUCAGAGCAGGGGACUCAUAAUCCCUGGGUCGCGGGUUCAAGUCCCGCCCGG
rnacentral:tRNA from 1 species